GUGUCAGCAGCCGCGGUAAUACGAACCGGACAAACGUUAUUCGGAAUCACUGGGCUUACAGGGUGCGUAGGCGGUCUGGAGGGUGGGGUGUGAAAUCCCUCGGCUCAACCGAGGAAUUGCGCUCCAAACCGGCAGACUUGAGGGAGACAGAGGUGUGCGGAACUGAUGGUGGAGCGGUGAAAUGCGUUGAUAUCAUCAGGAACACCAGUGGCGAAAGCGGCACACUGGGUCUCUUCUGACGCUGAGGCACGAAAGCCAGGGGAGCGAACGGGAUUAGAAACCCUCGUAGUCC
rnacentral:rRNA from 1 species